rnacentral:rRNA from 1 species
GACGAACGCUGGCGGCAUGCCUAACACAUGCAAGUCGAACGAAACCGUCCGGUCUAUUUGCGCACGGCUGCUUAACGCGUGGUAACCUACCCUUAGGUUCGGUAUCACUCCCCGAGGGGUGUGCUCAUACCGGUUAAGGUCUUCGCACCAAAGAUGUAUCGCCAUUGGAUGGGCGCGCGUUGGAUUAGCCAGUUGGUAGGGUACAAGCCUACCAAGGCGACGAUCCAUAGCUGGUCUGAGAGGAUGAUCAGCCACAAUUGGACUGAGACACGGCCCAGAAUCCGACGGGAGGCAGCAGUGGGGAAUAUUGGACAAUGGGCGAAAGCCUGAUCAAGCAAUGUCGGGUGUGUGGUGCAGGCGGUAGGAUUGUAAAGCUCUUUUAGCCGGGAUGAUAAUGACAGUAACGGGAGAAGAAGCACCGGCUAACUCCGUG